GAUGAACGCUCGCGGCAGGCCUAAUACAUGCAAGUCGAACGGGAUCCAGAUCAAAGCUUGCUUUGGUCUGGUGAGAGUGGCGCACGGGUGCGUAACGCAUGAGCAACCUACCCUUGUCAGGGGGAUAGCCCGGCGAAAGUCGGAUUAAUACCGCAUGACAUCAUUGAGAGGCAUCUUUCGAUGAUCAAAGAUUUAUCGGACAAGGAUGGGCUCGCGUGACAUUAGCUAGUUGGUAAGGUAACGGCUUACCAAGGCUGCGAUGUCUAGGGGCUCUGAGAGGAGAAUCCCCCACACUGGUACUGAGACACGGACCAGACUCCUACGGGAGGCAGCAGUAAGGAAUAUUGGUCAAUGGACGGAAGUCUGAACCAGCCAUGCCGCGUGCAGGAAGACGGCCCUAUGGGUUGUAAACUGCUUUUAUACGGGAACAAACGUCGGUACGUGUACCGGUCUGAGUGUACCGUAAGAAUAAGGAUCGGCUAACUCCGUG
rnacentral:rRNA from 1 species